rnacentral:rRNA from 1 species
AACGCGAAGAACCUUACCAGGUCUUGACAUCCCGACGACCGCUCUAGAGAUAGAGUUUUUCUUCGGAACGUCGGUGACAGGUGGUGCAUGGUUGUCGUCAGCUCGUGUCGUGAGAUGUUGGGUAAGUCCCGCAACGAGCGCAACCCCUAUAACUAGUUGCCAGCAUUGAGAUGGGGACUCUAGUUAGACUGCCGGUGACAAACCGGAGGAAGGUGGGGAUGACGUCAAAUCAUCAUGCCCCUUAUGACCUGGGCUACACACGUGCUACAAUGGAUGGUACAACAAGCAGCGAACUCGCGAGGGUGAGCGAAUCUCUAAAAGCCAUUCUCAGUUCGGAUUGUAGUCUGCAACUCGACUACAUGAAGCCGGAAUCGCUAGUAAUCGCGGAUCAGCACGCCGCGGUGAAUACGUUCCCGGGUCUUGUACACACCG